ensembl:lncRNA
GGAAUUGUCAUCUACCAGUGAAAUUUAAAUUAAAUUCUUGUGCAAAGUUCUCAAUCGAUUAAACAUUUCAAAGCUGCCAGUUAGGGUGUUAGUGAGAGUAGCUGCUACAUUCUGCAGCAGCUCCUGUCACAGCUUGACAGAUUUGGCAAUAGAGGUGUUCACAAGUAUUUUUAAGUAUCUUGUCUCAGGGAAAGGUUUGUGUGGGGAUGACAGCAGGAAACACCAACGUCCCUGUGAAUGUGUGUGUAUUUCUUCUUGGAAGAGCUGGGACUCGUCUGCACUGAGGAUGGGACAUGCUGGAUGGACACUGUCCAACUGCAGAGCCACGUGGGAUCCCACACAAACAGCAGAGUGUGUAAAACUGGAGCAAGCAUUUGCAGCUCCUCUCCCCAGUGAGGUUGUAAAGCUGUCAGCCCCGCACUUGACAAGAGCCAGGCCGCCCUCCUUCCCUUUGUCUCCUGAAGGAGGAAAAUAUUUAGGUGUCACUGGUGGGAUGUCUGCGGUGGAAGUCAACAGACCUCGACCCAUCCAUUGAUCUGAGCCACGAGAGGAGAGAGGAAUUUCCACCUCGGGCAGCUCUGACAUUGCUGGUAACCAGGGCAUAUCCAUCCCUGUGCCUCAAAGCCUUCAGUUGCUGAUGCUCAGCCCCUGGGAAUGGAGGAACACCUCAGAACCCCCCAGCUGCUGUGUAAGUGUGGCAUCCAAACAGCUUUUCAGGAGGCCAGGCUCCUCAGUGAGAGGUUGAUAAGGGGUGUGAUGCUGGAGGAGAAGUGUCUCCAUCCAGGUCUCUGAAGCACAGCUUAAGCUGAGCGUUUUCCAAACCUGCUGGCUGAGUGCUAACAUCAGGCGCCAUCCUUGGCUUUAUGUAAAGAGCAGAGGAGGUGGCAGUGAAUGGCACAUGUCUCUGUAUUUACAGCACAAUAAGUGAUGCAAGCUGCCUGAAAUCCCCUCUCGUGUGUGCCCUGCAAAUAGACUCAGCAGUUCCCUGCUUCGGCUUUUAGCAGCAGGCAGAGGAGAGAGGGUCUGCAGCCCUGCUGGACUCAGUGAGUGGUGUCUGAGCAUCCCUGCAGGCGGCUGGAAGACUGAACUCUCUGCUUCCCUGCUGAGCCAAUGGAACGUGCACUGCUGUGGGGCAGGAGGAGAAACAGCAUAGCAAAUAUGGAGCAGGGAGCAUCAGCUGCGGCAUGGCAGGAAACAACCAGGGGAGAAAACACUUCUUCCUGCUCCAGCCCACCUAACACACAGCAUUUCCAAGCCAGUUUUUGGUAGGAGAAGCCCCAGGAGCGGGGCUGUGCAUCCAGAAGGAGGUGCUGGGACAUCAUGGUUGUCCUGUGCAGGACAGAGUUAUCUCCUGAAGGCACUUGGCAGCUCAGCCGGCACCUUCAGAGCCUGAUAAGAUCCCACCAUCGGCGUGUCUGAGCCGGGAGUGUUUGCCUUGUGAUAAGGAGUGUCUCAGGACGGUCCUGGGCAAUACCCCGAGCACUGUGGACUGGGCUGGCUGUCACUGGUGCCAUGUGCUCCCCGUGUAGCUCACGACGUCAGUGCAUUUAAUGUGCAUGUUAGCACACCAUUAAAUAUUGACUAUGCUUAAAUAAAUGAUGCAGCCAACUUUCAAG